rnacentral:rRNA from 1 species
UGGAGAAUUUUGCACAAUGGGGGAAACCCUGAUGCAGCGACGCCGCGUGAUUUAGAAGGCCUUCGGGUUGUAAAAAUCUUUUCUAUGGGAAGAAAAUGACAGUACCAUAGGAAUAAGGACCGGCUAAUUACGUGCCAGCAGCCGCGGUAAUACGUAAGGUCCGAGCGUUGUCCGGAAUCAUUGGGCGUAAAGGGUACGUAGGCGGGUAAGCAAGUUAGAAGUGAAAUCCUAUAGCUCAACUAUAGUAAGCUUUUAAAACUGCUCAUCUUGAGGUAUGGAAGGGAAAGUGGAAUUCCUAGUGUAGCGGUGAAAUGCGCAGAUAUUAGGAGGAAUACCGGUGGCGAAGGCGACUUUCUGGCCAUAACCUGACGCUGAGGUACGAAAGCGUGGGUAGCAAACAGG